CUUAACCUUUUAAUUUCAUUCACAUUGUCUCUCUCUCACUCGCGCCCUCCCACUCCUUCCAAAACCUAGCCUCCUUCAAAUCCACCAUCUCCGCCAACCCCCUCCACGCCCUUCUCUCCCUCGGCCCCUACCGCCCUCGUGACUCCUUCAAUGUCGCCGCCCUCUGCCGUGCCGCAAUAGCUUGGUUCCGCAACAACCUAUGGCUCGUCGAAAAUGAGCAUCCGUAGAACUGAUGCAAUGGAUGUAUUGGAUGCUUGCAGUCUGGUAAAAAUCGAAGACCAGGGAGAGAUGACAUUGAUUUGAUUGGGGGAAGACGAAAACCAAAUCACCGAAGCAGUCCUCCAGUUUUCGUUAGACACACUAUCUCCUGUUUUCUUUGAAUCUAACACACACCCGAUUGCUACGGCGGCUUAUGUUUUAGAAGGAAUGGGACACAAGCUAUGUGGGAUUCAUAGUUGAUGGAGCUAAGUGGCUAGUGGAUAACACAGAUAUCAAACUUGUAGGAAUUGAUUACCUAUCUGUUGCUUCUUAUGAUUACUUGAUUCCAUCUCACCUUGUUUUUUUAAAAGACAGGGAGAUCAUUCUCGUGGAAGGCUUGACGCUUGAUGAUGUUCCAGCCAUAGUUGUCAAUAGCGGCCGUAGCGGUCGCUAUAGCGGCGGAGCAGAGCGGAGCGUCCCCCAUCCGUGACAGACACCUCUAUAGCGGAGCGGUUUCGUUUCGCGGCUGGAGCGGCCGCUAUCGCGGCGGCGCGGGGCAGAGCGGCGCAAUUUCUAGAACGGUUUUUCGCGCUGCUACUUCGAAGCCUCCACCUUUUCCUCCUCCUUCUCCUCUGCCACCCUCCAUCCUCCUCCCCUUCACGCGCUAGUACUCACCAUAGUGUAGAAGAUAUGUGUUUUCCAGAGAGGAAGUGGGGGUGGUUGGUGAGGACGACGUCGUUUUUGGUGAAACAUUCUUGGAGUAGUGUUUGGGAGGAGACGACGACGAGGCGGGAGCCGAACCAUAGGGAGAUGACGUCGUCGUACUUGUCGGAGAGGGCUCUGAAGGUGCAAUGGAGGGGGCGCUUGAGAUGGUGCCAUGGUGGAGGUUGCUGAUUAUGGGGAGAGUGGUGGACCUGGUGGGAGGUUUUGGAACUUUCUAGAGGAGAAGCUUUAAAAGGAGAAAGAGAAAAAAGAAUAGGAGAGAGUAGGGGGGAAGUGUCCACGCCAGCAAAAAAAUUAAUUUUAGCUUUCAGAGGAGAAAGAGAAAAAAGCAUAGGAGAGAGAGCAGGGGAAAGCGUACUUGCGAGCAAAAAAAAUUAAAUUAUUUAGGUUGGCUGGUGCUGAGGGAUCACCAAUACAGUGCAUUCUGAUUAAAAAUUAAGUUUGAGUAGAUGGUGACACAUGGUCUGUCAUGUAGAGUUGGGCUCUGCCUACGAGAUCGUUUAUGGAGUUUGUAAUGUUCUCUAGAAUGUUUGUGGAUGCAUUGGAUGUGCAAAUGUAUGAUGAACACCAUUCGACAGGACACUAUUCUUUGAGUUUGUCAAAAGUAAUUUGCCUCUGGAGGUAAGCUCUUUUCUCAAUUUAUUCAACCCAUUUUUUACUAAGUACUUUAUUUUUCAAUGAACAAUUCUAGUGAAUCUUGUCCCAGUCAUGUAAGAUAGUUGGGGGUCAAAGAUAUACAAAAGGGCUUAACGAAAAGCAGAUAACUUCUCUGCUAAAGGUCUCAUGCCAGAGACCACGUGAGCAAGAGACAAAUAUUCUCCAGGUCAUCAUCAUGGGUUCUUGAUAUCACUCUCCAACCUUUUAUUUUCUUCUAUACAUUCUUAUUUUUGUCAGAAUCAAUUGGAAACUGAAUAGCCAUGGCUGUAUGAUAAAUUGCAAUUGUUUUAACUUGUCCUUUUCAGUAUUUAUUCUCUUUACAAACAAAUAUAUAAUGUGUAUUGCUGGUUUGGUUUAGUUUAAUUAAUCUAUAACUUUCCCAAUAUACUAGCAGACAAUUCACGAAACUGAUUAUGAGUAUAAUCCCUAUGCAAAGGAGUUUGGGAUUAGCAUUGAUAGCAAGCUUGUAUCAGUUAAGGCUCGGGUGUAUACAUUUUUUUAUACCAGUUUUCUCAUCGAGUAUGUUCAUGUCUAGGAAUAUCUCUUAUUCCUUACAAUAUAUGGCUGCAAUUUAAACGUGAAAGCUAGAUGAGAAGGAUUCAUGUAAUUGUGAAUAAUCCAAAUGUCUUGAAGUGAAAUGAAAGACUUAUUAUAGUCGUUGAUGCAGCCCAAGGACUGGAUUAUCUUCAUAAUGGCUGUACACCUCCUUUGAUACACAGAGAUUUGAAGCCCUCCAACAAAUUACAAGAUCAAAACAUGCAUGCCAAGAUAGCUGAUUUUGUUUGUAAUAAAAACUAUUUCUCAACCAUAUUUAUCUAUUUGGCAUGAUUAUGAUGCAUACAAUUUAUUUCAUUUAAAUGUGUUGUAUGCUGAAUUGGCUUCCGAGGUUUGUCAUGGACGUGGUAAAAUUCUAGUGGUAGAUUACAAAGCUUCUGAGCUUUAUCUAUUUCCCAAGCUCUCUUGUUUGUUCGUGAUCUAUUUAAAUGUGUUGUUAGCAUUUGGAGGCUAUAAUGGGAGGAAUAGCAAUGAGGUGUGUGCUGUAAGCUAUAUUUCUAAAAUUUUCUAUUGCCCGUGGAAGAUUGGCUUUCAUAUAUAUACACUCUCUUAUCAUA